AGUUUGAUCCUGGCUCAGGACGACCUUUGGCGGCGUGCUUCACACAUGCAAGUCGAACGGUUCUAGAGGUUAGAGAUUAGAGGUUAGAAGUUGGAAUCUGUAAUCGAGAUUGACAUUUACGUGAAUUUCCUCGAGUCUAACAUCUAAUUUCCAAUCUCUAACUUCUAGGAUAGUGGCGGACGGGUGAGUAACACGUGAGCAACCUGCCCGACAACCCGGGAUAACAGCGGGAAACCGUUGCUAAUACCGGAUACACCAGUUUUAACGCAUGUUAGAACUGGGAAAGGGUUUACCGAUGUCGGAUGGGCUCGCGACCCAUUAGCCUGUUGGUGGGGUAACGGCCUACCAAGGCUGCGAUGGGUAGCUGGUCUGAGAGGACGAUCAGCCACACUGGAACUGAGACACGGUCCAGACUCCUACGGGAGGCAGCAGUGGGGAAUAUUGCACAAUGGGCGAAAGCCUGAUGCAGCGACGCCGCGUGGAGGAUGAAGGCCUUCGGGUCGUAAACUCCUGUCUGGGGGGAUGAAUUUUUGACAGUACCCCCGGAGGAAGCCCCGGCUAACUACGUGCCAGCAGCCGCGGUAAUACGUAGGGGGCGAGCGUUGUCCGGAAUUACUGGGCGUAGAGCGCGCGCAGGUGGCUUGUUAAGUCAGGUGUCAAAAUGCGGAGCUCAACUCCGCAGCGCACUUGAAACUGGCAGGCUUGAGUGCAGGAGAGGAAAGUGGAAUUCCUAGUGUAGCGGUGAAAUGCGUAGAUAUUAGGAGGAACACCAGUGGCGAAGGCGACUUUCUGGACUGCAACUGACACUGAGGCGCGAAAGCUAGGGGAGCAAAAAGGAUUAGAUACCCUGGUA
rnacentral:rRNA from 1 species